rfam:Dipodomys ordii contig_83538, whole genome shotgun sequence.
GGGAGUGUGGCUCAGAGGUAGAGCACUUACCUAGCAUGCAUGAGGUCCUGGGUUCUAUCCCCAGCACCG